UAAAAAUGGCUGGGUUAUUUUUUAACCCAAAAUGCUGGGUUGAGUCUGUUGGGUUGUUUUGCUGGGUUAAUUUUUAACAUUUUAAACACUUUUUGGGUAGUUUCAGUUUUCUGGUUGUUGGGUUAAAACUGCUGGGUUAUUAUACUGGGUUGUUUGAAGAGGCUCACGUGCUUCGCGCCUUUGAUGUUUGAAUGUGCUCAGCAACGGUCGUCGUGAAAGGACAGAGUCACUGGAAGCAGUUGUUUCAAGAGAGUGCAGAGUUUUUAUGUCCAUCCAUUAAUGAGGCUAGCAAGGCCUUCAUACAACUUCAGCCAAUUGCAACAAAUGUGGUGGAAGUUCUUCUCUGGACAGAAUCCUCAAAAUCCUUUCCUUUAUUUCCUGGCCAUGGGAAACAUGCAACAGAUCUCUCAAUCUUUUUUCUCAAUCAGUCUCUCUGAUGGAGCCAAUACGGAAGUGACUUAAACUGCAAUUCGGCCAAGAUGGCGACGGCACGCACCGCCUACUUUAGGCUUCAAAAAUGCUCUUCACAACCAAUGGGUGACAUCACGGACACUACUUUCAUAUUUUUUUACAGUCUAUGGUUUAAAGGCAUUUUACGUGCUUAAAAAUAAAUACCCCAGGCAAUGUGCAUCUACUGUAGUCUGUCAUUUUCCAAAUGGAUGAAUCCUCUGCUGUUCGGUUCCUUUGUACAUCUUUGUUCGUGAGGAGUAACUUUAAUAAAUGAAGUAUUUUUAGUCAAAUACAUUCCAUACUGUGAAACUUGGAACAUCUGUUCUGUAAAAAACUUUACACAUCUGUAAAUGAUUUUACUUUUAAUUUAACAAUUACAUUGUUUAUUUUCUUACACUGCUGCAGUUUUGUUUAUGUACAUUUCAGUAUUUCAUUUAUAUAUUGUAUAUACUUAUAUACAAAUUCUGUCUUAAAUUCAAACAAAUUGAUUUAACCUGUUACAUUGUUACUUCAAUGUGCAUAAUUUCUGAUAUUUAAUAAAUAUAUUUAUACUUGAUGUCAGUAAGCAGCAGUCCUUUAAAUGAUUUUGCAACUGCCAACUGUAAAAAUUUAAGAGUUUGUAGUUAUUUUGAAGUCAAAUAAACAUUUAUUUGGUGUUCACAAUGGUCUUGAUUUACAAUAAAGCACAUGAUAAAAAUAACCCAGCAAGAAUAACCCAAACCCAGAAUAUUAAUCUUAUAAGUGGUUAAAAUGACUACACGUUGGGUUUUUUCAACAACCCAACCUGCUGGGUUAAAAUGUGUUACCCAACGUGUUGGGUUACUUUAACCCAGCAUGUGUUCUGUCCAAUAUUUACCCAGCGCUGGGUUGCCAAUUGGGUUGUUUUUAACCCAACCAUUUUUAGAGUGUAC